rnacentral:misc_RNA from 1 species
CCGGCAGCCGGUUACCGAUUCUACGAAAGAUACAAGUAUACAGGGUGCCACAGGGUACUCCAAAUGCAGCCUUGUGAUAUUCGUCUUAAUAAAUCUAGUUUUUGCAUUAUUGCAUUAGUUUUUUCUCCACCUAUCAGAUAUUAAUUGAUAUUUCGAAAACUAUGUUAUUCAAAUGACUCGAAACCAAAAGAAAUGGCAAGGGAUUUCUUGUAAUUCGAAUCGUCGACUUCAUUUUGGGGUUAGAAGAAGAGAAAGAUUCCCUAUAGUUUGUGGAAUGCAUCUUGUAUUACCACAGUUGUUUAACGAUAGUAUUUUUCACGUGUAACUAUACAAAACGUGUGAGUUUUAAUAAAUAACCCGUUGAGAAUGGCAACAGAACGUCAAUGUAGUUAUGAAGAAAUUUUGAAGGCAUAUCCGGAGAUGACACUUGUUUCAGAAUCGCCAGUAACAUGGCAAGGCUUUCUAGUUAUCUCGUCUUCUAUGUAUCCUGCUGGUUAUGCUAGACGUCUUCGAAUGAAGGUAAAACUAGUGGUGCCUAAUUAUCCAUCAUUCUGCAAUGCAGAAAUUAGUUUUGGCAGGCACAUUGCUUUUCUGCGAAACAAACGUUUUAGUAGAGAAGUAAAGAAGGCAAUAAGGUCUGCGCAAACAAUAGUAUCAUUUUUAACGCAAUUAGAGUCGCUCAUUCUUAAAUAUAUACAUUAUACAGAUACUAAAAUUAAUGUGUACGACUUUGAAUCCACAAGAGAGUUUCUACAAGAUAUAAAGGCAGCUCUUCAGAAUCCAUCUGAUGUGCAAUUGUCAUGUGAUCGGAAUCUAAGUACUAUCAAGUUAUCUUUAAGAGGAGUGUCCCUUACAUUGCAAAGAUGUAAAGAUGUUGGAGUUUGCUGGAAAAUAGUAUCUUCCGACAUACCUGCUAUUCCAACGUUUGAAGGUUUUGAGAGAAACUUAACUAAUUUGAGCAUUGCGAUGACUAAGUUUAAAUGGCAAGUGGAAUUAUUAGAGAGAGUAUGGGAACAAUUAAAAGAAAUUGACGAGAAUUGUUGGGUAAUUGAUCCACCGGAACCAAACAAAAGUCAUGUACACAGAUGCAUUCAUUUGUCACAAUCUAUAUCUGUGACAAUUACAAUAGAUCCGCUGAAGCCUACUGCUUUGCCGACAAUUAAAUUCUUAGGCAGUGACAACGAGGUGAAAAGACUAAGUGACGAUGUUUCUAAUAAUAUUCUUAAAUGGAAUGAAGAUGACAGUGUUUUAGAAAAUCUGAAGAUGUUGUUAAAUAUGUAUGAAUUUCCCGAGCAGCAGGACAGCUUGGAUGAUUCCAAAGGCAUUAUUGGUAAUCGUGAGUGUGGUAUAUGCUUCUCUGAAAAAUCAGAGGCCGAUGAAUUGCCGAAUAAGAUGUGCAAUAACGAAAAAUGCAUGAAACAUUUUCAUUCAGCAUGUUUAUCGAGGUGGUUGCAAACAAACGCUACGAAUCAAGUUGUGUUCCAUCAUAUCCAUGGCAAAUGCCCGCAUUGCAAGGAAAACAUUUCCUGUCCCAUUGAAUGAUACAGGUACGUGUGCUAUUGAUCUAAAUCCCGCAACAAGAUGUAUUCUUGUCAAUUCCGUUUCAUUAUCGACGAUAGCUUUAGCCACGGGAUAAAGUGCUGCUAUUCCCGAACCAAUACUAAACAUGAUGAUGUGUCUAAAACUAUUGUGACAAUGCAUUGAUUAGUGAGAAAGAUAAUUUUUACUUAUUCACACCUACGCACCUGUUAUUUUCAUACUUGAAAUCUCCGUAAGGACCUCUGAUGUCAAUUGUCCUACCAACUGAUGCAUUUUUUAAAAUUUGUUACAUUUAUUGAUUUAUAGACCCAUAAUACCUGGAUAUUCUAAACUCAUUAAGAAACAAUCUUUUGAUGCAUCGGAUAUAUCUGUGAUAACAAAUGCUUUGUAAGAUAAAAGAGAUAAUAAAUUGCCUGCAGGUUUUA